UACCUGCAGCUCUAGUGGUGAUCGCUAUUAUUGGGCCUAAAACGUCCGUAGCCGGCUUAUUAAAUGCCUGGGUAAAUCGUGUAGCUUAACUAUACGAAUUCCGGGUAGACUGAUAGGCUUGAGACCGGGAGAAGCUAGAGGUACUCCUGGGGUAGAGGUGAAAUUCUGUAAUCCUAGGGGGACCACCAGUGGCGAAGGCGUCUAGCCAGAACGGGUCUGACGGUGAGGGACGAAGCCCUGGGGCGCAAACCGGAUUAGAUACCCGGGUAGUCCAGGGUGUAAACGCUGCUUGCUUGAUGUUAGUUGGGCUCUGAGCCCAAUUAGUGUCGGAGAGAAGUUGUUAAGCAAGCUGCCUGGGAAGUACGGUCGCAAGACUGAAACUUAAAGGAAUUGGGCGGGGAGCACAGCAACGGGUGGAGCGUGCGGUUU
rnacentral:rRNA from 1 species